rnacentral:rRNA from 1 species
GACGGAGGGUGCGGGCGUUGUUCGGAUUGACUGGGCGUAAAGGGCGUGUAGGCGGUCGGCCAAGUCUGGUGUGAAAGCCCGGGGCUCAGCUCCGGAAGUGCGCCGGAAACUAGCUGGCUGGAGCGCGGUAGAGGAGGGUGGAAUUCCUGGUGUAGCGGUGAAAUGCGUAGAUAUCAGGAGGAACACCGGCGGCGAAGGCGGCCUGCUGGGCAGUAGCUGACGCUGAGGCGCGACAGCGUGGGGAGCAAACAGG